UCCAUCUGUGUGAUUCAAGAGCAAGU
rnacentral:piRNA from 1 species